rnacentral:rRNA from 1 species
AGUGAACGCUGGCGGUAGGCCUAACACAUGCAAGUCGAACGGCAGCACAGUAAGAGCUUGCUCUUACGGGUGGCGAGUGGCGGACGGGUGAGGAAUACAUCGGAAUCUACUUUUUCGUGGGGGAUAACGUAGGGAAACUUACGCUAAUACCGCAUACGACCUACGGGUGAAAGCAGGGGAUCUUCGGACCUUGCGCGAUUGAAUGAGCCGAUGCCGGAUUAGCUAGUUGGCGGGGUAAAGGCCCACCAAGGCGACGAUCCGUAGCUGGUCUGAGAGGAUGAUCAGCCACACUGGAACUGAGACACGGUCCAGACUCCUACGGGAGGCAGCAGUGGGGAAUAUUGGACAAGGGGCGCAAGCCUGAUCCAGCCAUACCGCGUGGGUGAAGAAGGCCUUCGGGUUGUAAAGCCCUUUUGUUGGGAAAGAAAAGCAGCAGGUUAAUACCCCGCUGUUCUGACGGUACCCAAAGAAUAAGCACCGGCUAACUUCG